rnacentral:rRNA from 1 species
GGGGAAUAUUGGACAAUGGGGGCAACCCUGAUCCAGCGACGCCGCGUGGGUGAAGAAGGCCUGCGGGUUGUAAAGCCCUUUCGGUUGGGAAGAAAAGUUGCGACCUAACACGUCGCGACCUUGACGUAACCAACUAAAGAAGCACCGGCUAACUCUGUGCCAGCAGCCGCGGUAAUACAGAGGGUGCGAGCGUUAAUCGGAAUUACUGGGCGUAAAGCGCGCGUAGGCGGCUUUUCAAGUCGAUUGUGAAAUCCCCGGGCUUAACCUGGGAACUGCAGUCGAGACUGUCUAGCUAGAGUAUGGGAGAGGGAAGUGGAAUUUCAGGUGUAGCGGUGAAAUGCGUAGAUAUCUGAAGGAACAUCAGUGGCGAAAGCGACUUCCUGGACCAAUACUGACGCUCAUGUGCGAAAGCGUGGGGAGCAAAC